rnacentral:lncRNA from 1 species
AAACCCUAUGUAAUUUACUAGAGUGGUUGUAUAAAGAGAGUAACUUUAUGUGAAUAUUGGGUGUAAAGUUUUGUAAUUUUUCAUUUUUAUUGGUGUUAUUUUGUAUUUUACUUGAAGUUUUCGCUCGAAUUCUUGAAUUAUUGGAUGCAGUUUUUUUUUGUAAAUGGUGGUUAAUGUUGGGUUGGGAGCUUGUUAACUACUUUUUUUGAUGAUGAUUGCUAAACGGGGUUUGUUUUUUGCUCACGUUUCCUAGAUAAAUUGUUGAAUUAUUGGAUGCAGUUUUUGCAAAUAGUGGUAAAUGCUGGAUUGGGAGCUUGUUAAUUACUUUCUUUGAUGAUGAUUGCUAAACGGG